GGCGGCAGGCCUAACACAUGCAAGUCGAGCGGUAACAUUUCUAGCUUGCUAGAAGAUGACGAGCGGCGGACGGGUGAGUAAUGCUUGGGAACAUGCCUUUAGGUGGGGGACAACCAUUGGAAACGAUGGCUAAUACCGCAUAAUGUCUACGGACCAAAGGGGGCUUCGGCUCUCGCCUUUAGAUUGGCCCAAGUGGGAUUAGCUAGUUGGUGAGGUAAUGGCUCACCAAGGCGACGAUCCCUAGCUGGUUUGAGAGGAUGAUCAGCCACACUGGAACUGAGACACGGUCCAGACUCCUACGGGAGGCAGCAGUGGGGAAUAUUGCACAAUGGGCGCAAGCCUGAUGCAGCCAUGCCGCGUGUGUGAAGAAGGCCUUCGGGUUGUAAAGCACUUUCAGUUGUGAGGAAAGGUUAGUAGUUAAUACCUGCUAGCUGUGACGUUAGCAACAGAAGAAGCACCGGCUAACUCCGUGCCAGCAGCCGCGGUAAUACGGAGGGUGCGAGCGUUAAUCGGAAUUACUGGGCGUAAAGCGUACGCAGGCGGUUUGUUAAGCGAGAUGUGAAAGCCCCGGGCUCAACCUGGGAACUGCAUUUCGAACUGGCAAACUAGAGUGUGAUAGAGGGUGGUAGAAUUUCAGGUGUAGCGGUGAAAUGCGUAGAGAUCUGAAGGAAUACCGAUGGCGAAGGCAGCCACCUGGGUCAACACUGACGCUCAUGUACGAAAGCGUGGGGAGCAAACGGGAUUAGAUACCCCGGUAGUCCACGCCGUAAACGAUGUCUACUAGGAGUUCGGUUUUUCGGAACUGUCUUCCAAAGCUAACGCAUUAAGUAGACCGCCUGGGGAGUACGGCCGCAAGGUUAAAACUCAAAUGAAUUGACGGGGGCCCGCACAAGCGGUGGAGCAUGUGGUUUAAUUCGAUGCAACGCGAAGAACCUUACCUACACUUGACAUCCAGAGAACUUACUA
rnacentral:rRNA from 1 species